GCACUGCUAACGAGUCCCAAACAGGAUGAAACACCUGUCCAGUGC
rnacentral:hammerhead_ribozyme from 1 species